rnacentral:rRNA from 1 species
CCUACGGGAGGCCGCAGGGGGGAAUUUUGGGCAAGGGGCGCGGGCGUGAUCCAGCAAUGGGGGGUGAGUGAAGAAGGCCUUCGGGUUGUAAAGCUUUUUUGUCAGGGAGGAAACGGGUUUUUUUAAUAUGGGGCCCUAAUGACGGUACCUGAAGAAUAAGCCCCGGCUAACUACGUCCCAGCAGCCGCGGUAAUACGUAGGGGGCAAGCUUUAAUCGGAAUUACUGGGCGUAAAGCGUGCGCAGGCGGUUUUUUAAGUCGGGGGUGAAAUCCCCGGGCUCAACCUGGGAAUGGCUUUGGAGAUUGCAAGUUUAGAGUUUGGCAGGGGGGGGUAGAUUUCCAGGUGUAGCGGUGAAAUGCGUAGAUAUGGGGAGGAACCCCGAUGGAGAAGGCAGCCCCCUGGGUCAAAACUGACGCUCAGGCACGAAAGCGUGGGGAGCAAACAGGAUUAGAUACCCUGGUAGUCCACCCCUUAAACGAUGUAUAUUAGUGUCGGGUUUUAAUUGACUUGGUGCCGCAGCUAACGCGUAAGAUCCGCUGG